CUUUAAGCUAUUAUAUUGGUAGCACAAAGAGAAAUCUUGACAUAAGACUAAAGGAGCAUAAGGCUAACAUAAAAGCGGCAAAGCUGGACAUGGCACUUGCCAGGUUGGCCUAUGAACAAGAUAUGAUGGUUAAGUGGAAUGAAGCUUCUGUAAUUAAACCUUUGAGACAACCUACAGUGAUCAAUACCCUAGAAACCCUUGAGCUCCAUAAAAGAAGACACACUCAACAGAUAAUCAACGAUAAUGACCCUAUGGAACUGCCCAUGGCGUGGAGGUGGUGCACAGACAAUAAUUUAUAAAAAACACA
rnacentral:lncRNA from 1 species